rnacentral:rRNA from 1 species
CUUUUGCUGGCGACCGGCGCACGGGUGAGUAACACGUACCCAACCUGCCCUUUACUCGGGGAUAGCCUUUCGAGAGAAAGAUUAAUACCCGAUAGCAUAAUGAUUCCGCAUGGUUUCAUUAUUAAAGGAUUCCGGUAAAGGAUGGGGAUGCGUUCCAUUAGGUUGUUGGUGAGGUAACGGCUCACCAAGCCUUCGAUGGAUAGGGGUUCUGAGAGGAAGGUCCCCCACAUUGGAACUGAGACACGGUCCAA